UACGAAGGGGGCUAGCGUUGCUCGGAAUCACUGGGCGUAAAGCGCACGUAGGCGGCUUUCUAAGUCAGGGGUGAAAUCCUGGAGCUCAACUCCAGAACUGCCUUCGAUACUGGCGAUCUUGAGUCCGGAAGAGGUGAGUGGAACUCCUAGUGUAGAGGUGGAAUUCGUAGAUAUUAGGAAGAACACCAGUGGCGAAGGCGGCUCACUGGUCCGGUACUGACGCUGAGGUGCGAAAGCGUGGGGAGCAAACAGG
rnacentral:rRNA from 1 species